UGCAAGUCGAGCGGUAGAGAGAAGCUUGCUUCUCUUGAGAGCGGCGGACGGGUGAGUAAUGCCUAGGAAUCUGCCUGGUAGUGGGGGAUAACGUUCGGAAACGGACGCUAAUACCGCAUACGUCCUACGGGAGAAAGCAGGGGACCUUCGGGCCUUGCGCUAUCAGAUGAGCCUAGGUCGGAUUAGCUAGUUGGUGGGGUAAUGGCUCACCAAGGCGACGAUCCGUAACUGGUCUGAGAGGAUGAUCAGUCACACUGGAACUGAGACACGGUCCAGACUCCUACGGGAGGCAGCAGUGGGGAAUAUUGGACAAUGGGCGAAAGCCUGAUCCAGCCAUGCCGCGUGUGUGAAGAAGGUCUUCGGAUUGUAAAGCACUUUAAGUUGGGAGGAAGGGUUGUAGAUUAAUACUCUGCAAUUUUGACGUUACCGACAGAAUAAGCACCGGCUAACUCUGUGCCAGCAGCCGCGGUAAUACAGAGGGUGCAAGCGUUAAUCGGAAUUACUGGGCGUAAAGCGCGCGUAGGUGGUUUGUUAAGUUGGAUGUGAAAUCCCCGGGCUCAACCUGGGAACUGCAUUCAAAACUGACUGACUAGAGUAUGGUAGAGGGUGGUGGAAUUUCCUGUGUAGCGGUGAAAUGCGUAGAUAUAGGAAGGAACACCAGUGGCGAAGGCGACCACCUGGACUAAUACUGACACUGAGGUGCGAAAGCGUGGGGAGCAAACAGGAUUAGAUACCCUGGUAGUCCACGCCGUAAACGAUGUCAACUA
rnacentral:rRNA from 1 species